CUUAUUUACUCCUCUUGAAUUAUUAGUUUGAUUAAUUAAUUGUCAUGCAACUUUCUAAGCCUACCCUUAACCCGAUCCCUCGGUGAAAAGAGCCUAAUAUUAAUUACUGGCUUGCUAUCCCUAGCCUCCCCUAGCAAUUAAUACAGCAUUAUAAGCAGAAGUUAAAAGCAAUUGAUCGUCCUACCCCUAUCUCUAGGUGGUAUUGCAAAAUCAAGGAAUUACUCACCAGUUCAUGACAUUACUGUACGUCCC
rnacentral:lncRNA from 1 species